GAUGAACGCUGACAGAAUGCUUAACACAUGCAAGUCAACUUGAACUUCGGUUUGGGUGGCGGACGGGUGAGUAACGCGUAAAGAACUUGCCUCACAGAUAGGGACAACAUUUGGAAACGAAUGCUAAUACCUGAUAUUAUGAUUUUAGGGCAUCCUAGAAUUAUGAAAGCUAUAUGCGCUAUGAGAGAGCUUUGCGUCCCAUUAGCUAGUUGGAGAGGUAACGGCUCACCAAGGCGAUGAUGGGUAGCCGGCCUGAGAGGGUGAUCGGCCACAAGGGGACUGAGACACGGCCCUUACUCCUACGGGAGGCAGCAGUGGGGAAUAUUGGACAAUGGACCAAGAGUCUGAUCCAGCAAUUCUGUGUGCACGAUGAAGUUUUUCGGAAUGUAAAGUGCUUUCAGUUGGGAAGAAGAAAAUGACGGUACCAACAGAAGAAGUGACGGCUAAAUACGUGCCAGCAGCCGCGGUAAUACGUAUGUCACAAGCGUUAUCCGGAUUUAUUGGGCGUAAAGCGCGUCUAGGUGGUUAUAUAAGUCUGAUGUGAAAAUGCAGGGCUCAACUCUGUAUUGCGUUGGAAACUGUGUAACUAGAGUACUGGAGAGGUAAGCGGAACUACAAGUGUAGAGGUGAAAUUCGUAGAUAUUUGUAGGAAUGCCGAUGGGGAAGCCAGCUUACUGGACAGAUACUGACGCUGAAGCGCGAAAGCGUGGGUAGCAAACAGG
rnacentral:rRNA from 1 species